GGGUGAGUAACACGUGGAUAAUCUACCCGACAAUCAGGGAUAACAUUUCGAAAGGAAUGCUAAUACCUGAUAAGCCUACGCCCUCCUCGGAGGAAGUAGGAAAAGGUGGGGACCUUCGGGCCUACCGUUGUCGGAUGAGUCCGCGGCCCAUUAGCUAGUUGGUAGGGUAAUGGCCUACCAAGGCUACGAUGGGUAGCUGGUCUGAGAGGAUGAUCAGCCACACUGGAACUGAGACACGGUCCAG
rnacentral:rRNA from 1 species